CCUACGGGAGGCUGCAGUGGGGAAUAUUGGACAAUGGGGGGAACCCUGAUCCAGCCAUGCCGCGUGUGUGAAGAAGGCCCUCGGGUUGUAAAGCACUUUCAGUGAGGAAGAACGCCUGGUGGUUAAUACCCAUCAGGAAAGACAUCACUCACAGAAGAAGCACCGGCUAACUCCGUGCCAGCAGCCGCGGUAAUACGGAGGGUGCGAGCGUUAAUCGGAAUUACUGGGCGUAAAGCGCGCGUAGGUGGCUUGAAAGCCGGUUGUGAAAGCCCCGGGCUCAACCUGGGAACGGCAUCCGGAACUGUCAAGCUAGAGUGCAGGAGAGGAAGGUAGAAUUCCCGGUGUAGCGGUGAAAUGCGUAGAGAUCGGGAGGAAUACCAGUGGCGAAGGCGGCCUUCUGGACUGACACUGACACUGAGGUGCGAAAGCGUGGGUAGCAAACAGGAUUAGAUACCCUGGUAGUC
rnacentral:rRNA from 1 species